CCUAGUGGUUAGAGUGUCGAGGAGGCAGGUAGCCUAGUGGUUAGAGUGUAGAGGCGGCAGGGCAGCCUAGUGGUUAGAGUGUAGAGGCGGCAGGGUAGCCUAGUGGUUAGAGUGUAGAGGAGGCAGGUAGCCUAGUGGUUAGAGUGUAGAGGCGGCAGGGUAGCCUAGUGGUUAGAGUGUAGAGGCGGCAGGGUAGCCUAGUGGUUAGAGUGUAGAGGCGGCAGGGUAGCCUAGUGGUUAGAGUGUAGAGGGGCAGGGGUAGCCUAGUGGUUAGAGGGUAGAGGCGGCAGGGUAGUCUAGUGGUUAGAGUGUAGAGCGACAGGGUAGCCUAGUGGUUAGAGUGUAGAGGCGGCGGGGUAGCCUAGUGGUUAGAGUGUAGAGGCGGCGGGGUAGCCUAGUAGUAAGAGUGUAGAGGCGGCAGGGUAGCCUACUGGUUAGAGUGUAGAGGCGGCAGGGUAGCCUAGUGGUUAGAGUGUAGAGGCGGCAGGGUAGCCUAGUGGUUAGAGUGUUGGGGCGGCAGGGUAGCCUAGUGGUUAGAGUGUAG
ensembl:lncRNA